rnacentral:rRNA from 1 species
UACGUAGGGCGCGAGCGUUGUCCGGAAUCAUUGGGCGUAAAGAGCUCGUAGGCGGCUUGUCGCGUCGUCCGUGAAAACCUGCAGCUCAACUGCAGGCUUGCGGUCGAUACGGGCAGGCUAGAGUUCGGUAGGGGAGACUGGAAUUCCUGGUGUAGCGGUGAAAUGCGCAGAUAUCAGGAGGAACACCAAUGGCGAAGGCAGCUCGCUGGGACGGUACUGACGCUGAGACGCGAAAGCGUGGGGAGCAAACAGG